rnacentral:lncRNA from 1 species
GCUGAGGCUGCGUCCGAAAUGAAUUCGCAAUCGCAAACUGCUCGAUUUAGGCUUUGGUGGUCAUUUCUGUGCGACUGGCAAGGGGGACGAAGACAUUUAUUUCCACAACAAAGCGGCACGUCUUUGUUUAUCAACAUUCGCACGCUUUUUUUUUUUUGUUAUGAAAAUGUAAGUUCAACUAGUUGCUGACAACGACGUAACGGUAGUUUUAAGGCGGCCAUCUUAAAUAACGAAACCAAGCCACAAAUAACGCAAAAUAAGAUGUAAACGAAGUUAAUACGACGACCAAUUUACGCGUAAAAAGAUAUAUCACCAAAAAGUUGCCUUUGUAUUUACACUUUAUUCGAAAAAUGUGUGGAUAUUUGACAAACAUUUGCUUUAUUUGUGCGUGGCAAUGAUAACAUUGUGUUUGGCGUACAUUUGACACCGCUGUCACCACGGUUAGUGCUGUAAAAGCAGUUAUACAGUAUUUCAUGUCUUAUCCCGGUAUUGUGGUCGUGCACAAGACAUAAAUCGGCCAAACUGUUAUUUCUUGGCUCAUUUAGUCGCAGGAGUCUCUGGCGCAAGUGUCUGUAGGCCUCCUUGAUACACUUCUCUGGUUUGAGGUUUCCUGACAAGACUUUGACAGCGCUCUGCUUGCCUUGGAUGGCUGAAAGGACAUAAGUUGUUAAGGAUCUUGAGGUUUCAGAGUGUUUGCCAAAGUCAAUUCUGGCCUGAGCAACGGCUGUAUGAUGUUUCUUAAACUGGCACAUUAUACCAGUCCAGCUGAGCAUGGCAGUCAGCAUCAAAACACAGUGCCUUCAGGUUUAUGUACAGCAUCCUGAAAACUGGGGCGCCUUCUGCUGUACAACAGAGCCAAGAUAAAGAAGAAGACUGAUCGUGACCUACCAGUCAGAACAGUUGUUCCCCAAAGGCAUUUGCAGCCUUUUCAAGCUGUCAGACGACAAUGAAAAAUGAGCCAGUCAAGUGUACUACAUCCAUGCAGGGCUAUCGGCAGAGCAGGGGGGCAAUCAAGAAAACGUCCCAGGACCACUGAUGAGCACAGCUUACACAUUCGCCUACCCCUGGGGAGAAGCAGCCCAACCAUUAAAAAUCUGCUCUGUUUCAGUGAUGGCAUGGCAGAUUGACAGUGUGACCCUCCCAGUCUGAGUCAGGCAGUGAAACCAACAGUGCUGUCAGCCCAGGAAAAUAUGAAUCCACCACAGAAAUGGUACUGUUUAUAGGAAAACCUUUGCACCAUCUGAACCAGCUCUGCACCUUUUGUAGAGUUCAUACCAAAAACUUGUAUGUUUACCUCUAAGCAACUAAUCUUAAAAAAAGAAAUCUGUAGUUGUGACUGAGAUGCUAUCAGCAGUAUUUAGUGAAGAAUGUGGGUGGCCACCAAUCUGUCUGUCACCAUCUUUGUUGGAGAAACAAGAUGAUUAAUCUGCCAGAUACAGUAAAACCAAACAGUAUUUAAGGAAAGACAUAUCUGCAGAUAAAUAUAGGAUUUAAGAAAUAGUUAUCAUCUUACAUUAAUAUUUAAUACUUAAAAUAUGCUUAAAAGACAUUAUUUAAUUACAUAUGUUCUAAUUUGCUCACAUUUCUUGUAUGGAUAGAGACGGGUAAGAUUUUUUGUAUGGUAGAAAAGGUUUUUACUGAUCUUUUCUAUUUUUUUAUCACUAGUUCAGAAAGUACUGUAACCUGACAGAAGUAAUUAGGCAACUUUCAAGUUUUUUUUUUUUGCAGAAUAAAAUGUUAUGUAAAUAAAUAU